rnacentral:rRNA from 1 species
UUCUUUGAAGCUGGUGUACAGGUGGUGCAUGGUUGUCGUCAGCUCGUGUCGUGAGAUGUUGGGUUAAGUCCCGCAACGAGCGCAACCCUCGUUCUAUGUUGCCAGCACGUGAUGGUGGGAACUCAUAGGAGACUGCCGGGGUCAACUCGGAGGAAGGUGGGGAUGACGUCAAAUCAUCAUGCCCUUUAUGUCUUGGGCUUCACGCAUGCUACAAUGGCUGGUACAGAGAGAGGCGAACCCGUGAGGGCAAGCGAAUCCCUUAAAGCCAGUCUCAGUUCGGAUCGUAGUCUGCAAUUCGACUACGUGAAGUCGGAGUCGCUAGUAAUCGCAGAUCAGCAACGCUGCGGUG